CUUCAUCUUCCUAAUUCAAGAGAGACUCCAUUUAUUGUGAUUACAUUUCCUGGUUCCUCAGACAAAACAGAGUGCCCUCAUUGGUAAUAAAUAGGAACUUGUAAAGCCGUUUGCUGUACGGUGCUGUAAAAUCUGGGUGAAAAAGAAACCAUUUUUUUAAUGGAAGUUGUGCGAGUCUCCGCCUAAACGGCAGAGAAUUUAGAAGAGACUCUGCAAGCAUGAUCUGUACACCAAAACCCUACCAGUCCAGGAUUUAGGGAUUACCCAGUUGUGUCUAACGUGUUUUUACAAGAAAAAAAAACCCCACAAAAUACUUGACACAACAGGGUAAUCCCUAAAUCCUGGACUGGUUGAGGGUAUUCAAGGACUGUGUUGGGAACCCCUGGCUUAGAAUGUGCCUUUAAAACUAUCAAUUAGAUCUACUUCAUUUAUUUUUCUGCUUGGUUACUUUAACUAUAAUCACAUACAGGAGGCCGCUGCAGGCUCUUGCAGGCAAUUAACAGAGCAGGAUAGAAGACAUUCUAAAUUAAACCCAUUCCUCAACAAGGGAAGCUAAAAUCUUUAGACUCUUGUUCAGAAGGCUAAGCCAGGGGAGGUGUGGCUAAG